rnacentral:rRNA from 1 species
UGGGGGAUAUUGCACAAUGGGCGAAAGCCUGAUGCAGCGACGCCGCGUGGGGGAUGAAGGCCUUCGGGUUGUAAACUUCUUUUGCUCUGAACAAGGCGCACCAUGGGGUGUGUUGAGUGUAGGGGUUGAUUAGCGCCGGCUAACUACGUGCCAGCAGCCGCGGUAAUACGUAGGGCGCGAGCGUUGUCCGGAAUUAUUGGGCGUAAAGGGCUUGUAGGUGGCUGGUUGCGUCUGUCGUGAAAGCUCAUGGCUUAACUGUGGGUUUGCGGUGGGUACGGGCUGGCUUGAGUGCAGUAGGGGAGGCUGGAAUUCCUGGUGUAGCGGUGGAAUGCGCAGAUAUCAGGAGGAAUACCGGUGGCGAAGGCGGGUCUCUGGGCUGUUACUGACACUGAGGAGCGAAAGCAUGGGGAGAGAACAGG